rnacentral:rRNA from 1 species
CCUACGGGAGGCAGCAGUGGGGAAUAUUGGUCAAUGGGCGCGAGCCUGAACCAGCCAAGUAGCGUGAAGGAUGACUGCCCUAGGGGUUGUAAACUUCUUUUAUGUGGGAAUAAGGUGUUGCACGUGUGCCUUUUUGUAUGUACUUUAUGAAUAAGGGUCGGCUAACUCCGUGCCAGCAGCCGCGGUAAUACGGUGGAUCCGAGCGUUAUCCGGAUUUAUUGGGUUUAAAGGGAGCGUAGAUUGGUUGUUAAGUCAGUUGUGAAAGUUUGCGGCUCAACCGGAAAAUUGCAGUUGAUACUGGCAGUCUUGAGUACAGUAGAGGUGGGCGGAAUUCGUGGUGUAGCGGUGAAAUGCUUAGAUAUCACGAAGAACUCCGAUUGCGAAGGCAGCUUACUAAACUGCAACUGACACUGAGGCGCGAAAGCGUGGGUAGCAAACAGGAUUAGAUACCCCAGUAGUC